rnacentral:rRNA from 1 species
UACGGAGGGGGCUAGCGUUGUUCGGAAUUACUGGGCGUAAAGCGCGCGUAGGCGGAUCUGCAAGUCGGGGGUGAAAUCCCGAGGCUCAACCUCGGAACUGCCUUCGAUACUGCGGGUCUCGAGUCCGGGAGAGGUGAGUGGAAUUCCUAGUGUAGAGGUGAAAUUCGUAGAUAUUAGGAAGAAACACCAGUGGCGAAGGCGGCUCACUGGCCCCGGUACUGACGCUG